GUGGGGAAUUUUGCGCAAUGGGCGAAAGCCUGACGCAGCAACGCCGCGUGAGUGAUGAAGUCCUUCGGGAUGUAAAACUCUGUCGUCUGGGACGAAACGGCCCGCAAGGGUCACUGACUGUACCAGGUGAGGAAGCCCCGGCUAACUCCGUGCCAGCAGCCGCGGUAAUACGGAGGGGGCAAGCGUUGUUCGGAUUUACUGGGCGUAAAGGGCGUGUAGGCGGUUGGGUAAGUCAGUUGUGAAAGCCCCGAGCUUAACUUGGGAACUGCAACUGAAACUGCUCGGCUAGAGUUUUGGAGAGGAAAGCGGAACUCCCAGUGUAGCGGUGAAAUGCGUAGAUAUUGGGAGGAACACCGGUGGCGAAGGCGGCUUUCUGGACAAAAACUGACGCUGAGGCGCGAAAGCUAGGGGAGCAAACGGGAUUAGAUACCCCUGUAGUCC
rnacentral:rRNA from 1 species